rnacentral:sRNA from 1 species
GCCGGGCAUGGUGGCGCAUGCCUGUAAUCACAGCUACUCAGGAGGCUGAGGCAGGAGAAUUGCUUGAGCCUGGGAGGCAGAGGUUGCAGUGAGCCAAGAUUGUGCACUGCACUCCAGCCUGGGCAACAGAGCAAAGCCCUGUCUCAA